rnacentral:rRNA from 1 species
GAGUUUGAUCGUGGCUCAGAUUGAACGCUGGCGGCAUGCCUUACACAUGCAAGUCGAACGGCAGCAUGAUCUAGCUUGCUAGAUUGAUGGCGAGUGGCGAACGGGUGAGUAAUACAUCGGAACGUGCCCUGUAGUGGGGAGUAACUAGUCGAAGAUUAGCUAAUACCGCAUACGACCUGAGGUGAAAGUGGGGACCGGCAAGGCCUCAUGCUAUAGGAGCGGCC